UCCGGCGUCGUCCAAGGGCAGGACAGCGGACUUUGGAUCCGCGAAUGUUGGUUCGAAUCCAGCCGCCGGAA
rnacentral:tRNA from 1 species